GCCUGGGUGGCUCAGUUGGUUAAGUGUCUGACUUUGGCUCAGGUCAUGAUCUUGCAGUUCGUGGGUUUGAGCCCCGCUUUGGGCU
rnacentral:tRNA from 1 species